rnacentral:rRNA from 1 species
UACGAAGGGGGGCUAGCGUUGCUCGGAAUCACUGGGCGUAAAGGGUGCGUAGGCGGGUCUUUUAAGUCAGGGGUGAAAUCCUGGAGCUCAACUCCAGAACUGCCUUUGAUACUGAGGAUCUUGAGUUCGGGAGAGGUGAGUGGAACUGCGGGUGUAGAGGUGAAAUUCGUAGAUAUUCGCAAGAACACCAGUGGCGAAGGCGGCUCACUGGCCCGACACUGACGCUGAGGCACGAAAGCGUGGGGAGCAAACAGGG